rnacentral:lncRNA from 1 species
GUAUGUUCAUAGAACAGAUUACACGGCCAGGUUCAAUGAGAUCGACGCGAAGUGAACUCAUAAUUAAGGGUUGCAAGAAUCCCAGAGGUAAUCCAUUUACCGUUGACGUUGUUUCUCCUUCUCUUUUUUCCAAAUUCCUCUUCACUGAUUCAAGGUUCAUUUUCACUUUCUUCUCGUUUUAGUUUGUUUUACUCACACACUACCUAACACCUCUCUCUUCAACUGAAUGAUUUCAGCUUUUCGUUCUACUCCUCUUCGUGUAGACUCAUUCCACUUUUCAAUCAUUACCUUUUUUUAAUAUUAAUUUCAUCUAGGGGUGGGUAAAAAGGACCGUGAACCGAACCGAACCAAAAAUAACCGAAUCAUUAUAAUAGUUCACGAACCGAACCGUUAAUUUAUUGACAGUUCUUGAACCAUAACCGAACCAUCUUUAACCGAACCAAACCACUUGAUUUUUUUAUUUUUUUUUUAAAGGAAACCACUUGAACUCUUUGUUGGAUCUUUCCAAAAAAACAACUUAUUUAAAAUAGCUUAUUUUAAAAAACAACUUAUUCAAAACAGUUUAUUUUAUGAAAACAACUUAUUUUAAAAAAAUAGCUUAUUCAAAACACCUAAUUUUAUGCAAAAUAGCUUAUUUUAAAAAAUAACUUAUUCAAAAAAACUUAUUUUAUGCAAAACACCUUAUUUUAAAAAACAGCUUAUUAAAAAAAAAAAACCUAUUUUUAAAAAAAAAAAAACAGCUUAUUCAAAACAGAUUAUUUGAAAAACAACUUAUUUUAUGAAAAACACCUUAUUUUAAAAACAGCUUAUUCAAAACAGCUUAUUUUCAAAAAAACAACUUAUUCAAAACAUGUUUUGAAUAAAAUGAGUUGUUUUAAAAUAAGUAGUUUUUUUAAAAUAAUUUGUUUUCAUAAAAUAAGCUGUUUUUAAAAAUAAGGUGUUUUGCAUAAAAUAAGCUAUUUUUUAAAAUAAGUUGUUAUGCAUAAAAUAAACUGUUUUGAAUAAGUUGUUUUGCAUAAAAUAAACUGUUUUGAUUAAGUUGUUUUUUAAAAAGAGAUCGUAACAAGCUAUUUUUAAUAAAAUAAGCUUUUUAGAAUAAGCUGUUUUUCAUAAAAGAAGCUGUUUUGAAUAAGCUGUUUUAAAAAAUAAGUUGUUUUUCAUAAAAUAAGCUGUGUUUUUUAAAAUAAGGUGUUUUGCAUAAACUCAGUUGUUUUUCAUAAAAUAAGUUGUUUAUCAAAUAAGUUGUUUUUUUUUUUUUAAAUAAGGUAUUUUCAUAAAAUAAGUUGUUUCUUAAAAUAAGGUGUUUUCAUAAAAUAAACGGUUUUGAAUAAGCUAUUUUUAAAAAGAGAUCGUAAUAAAUUAUUUUUCAUAAAAUAAGUUUUUUUGAAUAAGCUGUUUUUUAAAAUAAACUGUUUUGCAUAAGAUAAGCUGUUUUUGAAGAAAUAAAUUAUUCUAACUUUUAAUUUUAAUUUGUUAUUUUUAUAAUAAAAGUGGUUUUAUUUAUUGGAUAAAAAAUAUUUAUUUUGGUUCGGUUCGGUAUGGUUAAUAGUUAAGCAAAUGGUUAACUAAACCAUAACUUUGGUUCAGUUCGGUUAACUCCAAACUUAAAAUUGUUCGGUUCGGUUUUUGCGAACCAUUUCAAAAUUUCGGUUCGGUUUGGUUUUUUGGGUUAACGGAACCAUGACCACCCCUAAUUUCAUCAAUCAUUUACCUUUUCAAUCCACUAAUAUUAAAAAGUCUCGUUUCCCUUCAAAAAAAAAUAAAAUAAAAACUCUCGUUAACGACUAUCCAGGACACUUCGUAAGAAUCCAAAAUUUAGACAUGAUAUAGUUGAUCAUAUUACACAUGUCAAUGCAUAAUUUAGAGUUUAAAUAGUUUGAAUAAUAUGUUAGAAAAAAUUAUGAAAAUUUGAUAUUUUGAAAAUAUUCAUCGAAACGAUUUUUUUUUAAGAGAUUAAAAUGGAUUAUAUCAACAACAAAAAAGACCUUCUGAGCACAAGAUGAGCCAAGAAGGAACAAAAGAGUCUAUACAAUAUUUACAGAAAGGAAAAAAAAAAUACAAAAAAUGACGAAAGAAAUAACAAUUAUCCGUAGCCCAACAUUGCGAGGGGACUAAGCCACCAACCAUGAUAAUUGAGGGAGAUCUAAACAUUUUUCUCCUUCAACCACGAGAAAGAAAGUGACUUUAUUUUGUCCACAAUCCGCAUAAUUGGGCAUUGUAACACCCCGUUUCCCAAAAAUCAAUUUAAUUAUAAUAUAAAAUCAGAGUUUCAACAUCAAACGGUAUGUCACACUUCAAAAUAUAAAUUCUUAAAUAGAUUAAAACUAUUUAACAACAUCCUUCAAUUAACUGCAGCGGAAUAAUCUUUAAAUUAAACUCCAUUAUCCAAAAUAAUCUUGGCAUUAAGCCUCAACAUAAAAUAUUCCAUCAAUCAUAGGGCUACAACAUUAACCAAAAUUUGAUACAUAGAAUGAAUUUAAACAAUAAAAUCCCAUCCCACGUAUCAGAGCCCUAGACACUUGAGCCACCACCAACUACUCAGGAUCACCUGCAAGUUACCCAUAGGAAGGGCAACAUUUUCAAGCAGAAGGGGUGAGAUUCACAACAAAAUAUAGAUAAAGAAUACAUCAAUUGAAUCUAACACCCUAUCAUAAAUCAUCAACAUUAUUAUUGUUUAUAUAACAUCAUUUUCGCAUCUUAUCACAAUAUUAAUUCAUACACCUCUCAACAAUAUAUACAACUUAUCACCACUCCACUAAGACUCCUCUAAACACCCAUGCAUGUGGUACCAAAAAUCAGGGCCGUGACCCACACCGCUGUCGAAUGGUUAAAGCAUUCUCAACAGGACAUAAGUCCUCACCACUACACCACUUUGAGUAACUAGUACUCCACCACUUUGAACGACUAAGCAUUCCAGAGCCGAAGCUCUCCCACUGUUAUGUUAAUGCAACUAAUCCUCAUAGAGUAUAUCUACAUACCAACCAACCUAGACAUAUACAUAUAUAUGAUUCACCAACCAACUUACACCUUUAAGGGAAUUUAAUUAAAUACAACAUUCAUUCAGUCAGCAUCCAUUCAUCAAAACCAACGAAAACAUCCAGGGAAAUAUAUAUCAGCAUACAAGCCAUGCAAUAAUUCAACCAAAUACACAAUCCAAACAACAACAGAAAUUAACCAACCAAAUACUGGGCAGCUCGCCUCGCGAGCUCAUCUACUCGCUAUGGCGAGCUCAGAAAAACAGGUACUCGCCAUGGCGAGUUGGAGGCGAACUCGAGGCGAACAGAAAUAUGGUGCUCUCGGGAAAAAUGACAUUUUUCUCACUCAAACCUCAAUUCUAAGCUCCCUAAUCAUCUUUUACACUUAAAACUUGCUCUAGUCCUCUUAAGAAUCAUCUAGGUACACAAAACUACCCAAAAUACGGCUUAUAACAACUUUUUCAAAAUCCAGAUUUUUACAAGGCUACUCGCCAUGGCGAGCUGAUUCACUCGCGAGGCGAGCGAUGAAGUUGUUCACUCGCUAUGGCGAACAAUGGCUACUCGCGAGGCGAGCGAUGAACUCCUGUACGGGCAGAAUGCAGUUUUUCCCAAAAAAUCCCAUUUUUCCUCAAUUCACUCCCCAAAUUAGUUUACAGAUAUGCAAUGAAAGGUUUUAUGCACCCAGAACCCAUUUCUACCCUCAAUUCUAUGAUUUUUACACUCAAAACUCCUUAAUCAACAAAAACCCAAUUUCUCCCAAAUCCUCACAUAAACCUGUUAGAACACAAUCAACAUUCAGAAUCUAUAUAAUUGCGGUAAACCUCACCCUUACCUUAGAUUCACAGAAAAAUGCAGCAGCAAUUGAUUCCUAAGCUUCUCUCCCUUGCACUUGGCUUUUCUCCCAAAACUUGUAUGUUUUCACGUUAAAAAUGUUUUCUCUAUUUUUCUUUCCUUAACUCCCAAAGUGUAACCUCCCCCACUCCUUAAUUAGCAAUUAACUCCCUACUAACUAUACUAAUUAUUUCAUAACCCCCAAAAUAAUAAUUAAUCCUAUUCUUAUAUUAUUUUAAUUAUUUAAUAAAAUAAUCAUAUAAUAAAUAAAUAUACAUUACAUAAAUCACCAAAAAUCACAUAAAUGACACCACACAAUUAAAAAUAAUUAAAUAAAAAUUAGAGUGUUACAACUCUCCCCAAAUUACUGAAUUUCGUCCUCGAAAUCUUACCUCAAACAAACAACUCAGGAUACGAGUCCCUCAUCUUACUUUCCAGCUCCCAAGUCAAACUUUCACCCGUUGCUCCACCCCAAACUACUCUCACCAAAGGUAUUUCCUUGCCCCUCAAUGCCUUUACUUUCCGAUCAUCGAUCCUCAACGGCAAGGUCUCAACUGUGAGAUUGUCCCUAACCUGCACAUCAUCUCUCGGAAUAACAUGCGAAGGAUCCGCUACAUACUUCCGCAACUGUGACACGUGAAACACAUCAUGCAAGUUCGAUAGAUGUGGUGGCAAGCCAACUCUAUAUGCCACCGUUCCGAUCCUCUCUGAAAUCUGAUACGGGCCAAUGAACUUCGGAGUUAACUUCCUCGAUUUCAAAGCACGUCCUACACCUGUCAUCGGAGUGACUCUUAGAAAUACAUGAUCACCCUCUUGGAACUCAAGGGCCUUCCUCCUCUUGUCAUGGUAACUCUUCUGUCGACUCUGCGACGCUUUCAUCUUCUCUCUGAUCAUCUUGACUUUUUCUGUAGUCUCCUGAACUAAAUCUGGUCCCAACACAACACUUUCUCCUGUCUCGAACCAACACAAAGGAGUCCUGCACCUUCGACCAUAUAAUGCUUCGAAUGGUGCCAUUCCUAUACUCGAAUGAUAACUGUUGUUGUAGGUGAACUCUAUCAAUGGCAGGUGACUAUCCCAAGCUCCACCCUGUUCAAGCACACACACUCUCAACAAGUCUUCCAAUGAUUGGAUCGUCCUCUCCGACUGACCAUCUGUCUGAGGAUGAUAAGCCGAACUCAGCCUCAACUUCGAGCCCAAAGCAUCCUGUAAACUCUUCCAGAACCUAGAAGUAAACCUCGGAUCUCUAUCCGACACAAUGCUAGACGGAACACCAUGUAGCUUCACAACACUAUGUAUAUAAAUUUCAGCCAACUGAGCUACCGGAUAAUUGAUGUUGAUAGGAAUAAAAUGUGCCGACUUCGUCAACCUAUCAACCACCACCCAAAUCGAAUCAUGUCCCUUCGGAGUGUUUGGUAAACUCGUCACAAAAUCCAUAGAAAUGCUAUCCCAUUUCCACUCUGGUACAUCCAAUGGUGUCAACAAUCCUGCGGGCUUCUGAUGUUCAACCUUAGACUUCUGACAAGUUAAACAUGCAUACACAAAAUGAGCAACAUCUCGCUUCAACCCAGACCACCAAAACAGCUUUUUCAAAUCGUGAUACAUCUUCGUAGCUCCCGGAUGAAUGCUUAAGCUACUCUUAUGACUUUCCUCUAGGAUUAACUUUUUCAUUUCUUCAUUAUCAGGAAUACAAAUUCUACCUCUGAAUCUUAGCACACCCUGAUCAUCAACCUUGAAGUCACCAUCUUCGAUACCAUUACCAGCAACCAUUAGAUCAACCAACUUGACAUCCACUUGCUGCGCUUCCCGGAUACUAUUCAGGAAAUCACUGUUAAUCUUUAGCAUCCCCAACUGUAUGCUCUGAGGCGACAACUCACACACCAAACUCAUGUCUCUAAACUGUUCCAGUAAAUCAAAUUCUUUCAUCAUCAUAGCAGACAUAUGCAGUGUCUUCCUACUCAAUGCAUCAGCGACUACAUUAGCUUUGCCCGGAUGGUAAUUCAACCCAAAAUCAUAAUCUUUUAACAGCUCAAGCCAUCUCCUCUGCCUCAUAUUCAAUUCCUUCUGGUCAAACAAAUAUUUCAAGCUCUUGUGGUCACUGAACACUUCAAAUCUGGAACCAUACAAGUAGUGUCUCCAAAUUUUCAAAACAAAAACCACCGCAGCUAACUCUAAAUCAUGAGUGGGAUAAUUCUUUUCAUGCACCCUCAGUUGCCUAGAAGCAUAUGCUACCACCUUGCCAUCUUGCAUCAAAACACCUCCUAAACCCAGCUUAGACGCAUCACAAUAAACAACGAAUGGCUCUUCCGGCUUAGGCAAGAUCAAAAUAGGAGCAGUUGUCAAUCUUUUCUUUAAUUCAAUGAAACUACUCUCACACUGAGCAUUCCACACAAAAGACUUACCCUUACAGGUUAACUGAGUCAACGGCAAUGCAAUCUUUGAAAAUCCUUCUAUGAAUCUACGAUAAUAACCAGCCAAGCCCAAGAAACUUCUGAUUUCAGUCACCGACUUCGGAGUCUCCCAUUGUGAUACUGCAUCAACUUUUGAUGGAUCAACCGCUAUACCAUCACCAGAAAUAAUAUGACCAAGGAAACUCACUUCACUUAGCCAAAACUCACAUUUCGACAGUUUGGCAUACAAUUUCCUUUCUUUCAAAACUUGCAACACAAUUCUCAGAUGUUCUGCAUGCUCUUCUUCAGUCUUCGAAUAAAUCAGAAUGUCAUCAAUAAAUACCACCACGAAUUUAUCCAGAAAAGCAUGAAAAAUUCGAUUCAUAAACUCCAUGAAUACACCGGGCGCGUUAGUAACACCGAAAGGCAUCACUUUGUAUUCGUAAUGACCGUAUCGUGUCCUAAAGGCCGUCUUCUGCAUAUCCUCAUCCUUCACCUUAAUUUGAUGGUAACCUGACCUCAAGUCAAUCUUACUGAACACCUUUGCACCCACUAGCUGGUCCAUCAAGUCAUCAAUUCUCGGAAGCGGAUAUCUAUUCUUAAUUGUAACUUUGUUCAAUUGACGAUAGUCAAUGCACAACCUCAUACUACCAUCCUUUUUCUUCACCAACAACACAGGUGCUCCCCACGGCGAAACACUGGGUCUUACAAACUUCUUAUCAAGUAAAUCUUCCAACUGUUUCUUCAAUUCAGCUAACUCAGAAGCUGACAUACGGUACGGUGCCAUCGACACCGGCUUUGUUCCAGGAACAAGGUCAAUUGAAAACUCCACCUCCCUCUCUGGCGGCACAUCAGGAAUCUCAUCAGGGAACACCUCCGGAAACUCAUUCACCACUGCUAGCUUGUCAAUCACAGCUUGAUUUUCUAACGACAGAUAUGCCAUUAGAGAAAACAUCAGAAUUCCAUCACGUUCUAACUGCUUCAUCUGCUUUGUAGAUAAAAUUUCAACUCCAUUUUCUUCUUCAGCAGAAGAAAAAUGCACCGUCUUACUAAAACAAUUGAUAUGAACUCGGUUAUACUCUAACCAGUUCAUACCAAGGACACAACAACAACAACAAAGACAACAUUAAAGUUGACACUCUAUCCUAGGUAGCUCAACACGACUCUACUACUUGGCCGGACGGACCAACCAGGCUCUGAUACCAAUUGUAACACCCCGUUUCCCAAAAAUCAAUUUAAUUAUAAUAUAAAAUCAGAGUUUCAACAUCAAACGGUAUGUCACACUUCAAAAUAUAAAUUCUUAAAUAGAUUAAAACUAUUUAACAACAUCCUUCAAUUAACUGCAGCGGAAUAAUCUUUAAAUUAAACUCCAUUAUCCAAAAUAAUCUUGGCAUUAAGCCUCAACAUAAAAUAUUCCAUCAAUCAUAGGGCUACAACAUUAACCAAAAUUUGAUACAUAGAAUGAAUUUAAACAAUAAAAUCCCAUCCCACGUAUCAGAGCCCUAGACACUUGAGCCACCACCAACUACUCAGGAUCACCUGCAAGUUACCCAUAGGAAGGGCAACAUUUUCAAGCAGAAGGGGUGAGAUUCACAACAAAAUAUAGAUAAAGAAUACAUCAAUUGAAUCUAACACCCUAUCAUAAAUCAUCAACAUUAUUAUUGUUUAUAUAACAUCAUUUUCGCAUCUUAUCACAAUAUUAAUUCAUACACCUCUCAACAAUAUAUACAACUUAUCACCACUCCACUAAGACUCCUCUAAACACCCAUGCAUGUGGUACCAAAAAUCAGGGCCGUGACCCACACCGCUGUCGAAUGGUUAAAGCAUUCUCAACAGGACAUAAGUCCUCACCACUACACCACUUUGAGUAACUAGUACUCCACCACUUUGAACGACUAAGCAUUCCAGAGCCGAAGCUCUCCCACUGUUAUGUUAAUGCAACUAAUCCUCAUAGAGUAUAUCUACAUACCAACCAACCUAGACAUAUACAUAUAUAUGAUUCACCAACCAACUUACACCUUUAAGGGAAUUUAAUUAAAUACAACAUUCAUUCAGUCAGCAUCCAUUCAUCAAAACCAACGAAAACAUCCAGGGAAAUAUAUAUCAGCAUACAAGCCAUGCAAUAAUUCAACCAAAUACACAAUCCAAACAACAACAGAAAUUAACCAACCAAAUACUGGGCAGCUCGCCUCGCGAGCUCAUCUACUCGCUAUGGCGAGCUCAGAAAAACAGGUACUCGCCAUGGCGAGUUGGAGGCGAACUCGAGGCGAACAGAAAUAUGGUGCUCUCGGGAAAAAUGACAUUUUUCUCACUCAAACCUCAAUUCUAAGCUCCCUAAUCAUCUUUUACACUUAAAACUUGCUCUAGUCCUCUUAAGAAUCAUCUAGGUACACAAAACUACCCAAAAUACGGCUUAUAACAACUUUUUCAAAAUCCAGAUUUUUACAAGGCUACUCGCCAUGGCGAGCUGAUUCACUCGCGAGGCGAGCGAUGAAGUUGUUCACUCGCUAUGGCGAACAAUGGCUACUCGCGAGGCGAGCGAUGAACUCCUGUACGGGCAGAAUGCAGUUUUUCCCAAAAAAUCCCAUUUUUCCUCAAUUCACUCCCCAAAUUAGUUUACAGAUAUGCAAUGAAAGGUUUUAUGCACCCAGAACCCAUUUCUACCCUCAAUUCUAUGAUUUUUACACUCAAAACUCCUUAAUCAACAAAAACCCAAUUUCUCCCAAAUCCUCACAUAAACCUGUUAGAACACAAUCAACAUUCAGAAUCUAUAUAAUUGCGGUAAACCUCACCCUUACCUUAGAUUCACAGAAAAAUGCAGCAGCAAUUGAUUCCUAAGCUUCUCUCCCUUGCACUUGGCUUUUCUCCCAAAACUUGUAUGUUUUCACGUUAAAAAUGUUUUCUCUAUUUUUCUUUCCUUAACUCCCAAAGUGUAACCUCCCCCACUCCUUAAUUAGCAAUUAACUCCCUACUAACUAUACUAAUUAUUUCAUAACCCCCAAAAUAAUAAUUAAUCCUAUUCUUAUAUUAUUUUAAUUAUUUAAUAAAAUAAUCAUAUAAUAAAUAAAUAUACAUUACAUAAAUCACCAAAAAUCACAUAAAUGACACCACACAAUUAAAAAUAAUUAAAUAAAAAUUAGAGUGUUACAGGCAUUCUUUGUCAUUGAAAAUUCUGUUAUUUCUUUCUUUCCAAAUUUCCCACACAGUAGCAAACCAAAUGCAUUUAAAAUUGAGUGCCGCACCUGAGUUUCGCCACCACCCAAACAUAAUUGAGUAAAAUGAUUUGAAACAGUUAGUGGGACGACGGUAGAGAGACCAAUCCAACGGAGAAUACAGUUCCAAACCGUCCCAAAAACAAAGUAAAGUAAGUUAGUUCAAAAUUGCAAAUUUUCAAAUAGGUCAUCUAUUGCGGGACGGAGGGAGUAAAUGUUACAAAUACAAUGCAUUGAUUACACAUAUUUUUAUAAAAAAACUUACUCUUAAAUAGUGCUCCGGGGCACUCGUUAACAUUCCCCGUAUUAAAAACAAACACAUUAAAUAAGGGGUAGAAAAAGUUUUUUAAACAAUAAUUACACUUGUGACAUUCUCUUAUAAUUAGGACCAAUUUAUAUAUAUAUAUAUAUAUAUAUGACCGGAUGGAGUACUAAUUAAAGAAAGAAAUGUAUUUUUUACCCUUUUAAAGGUUAACCUUGAUUUCUGUGACUCAUGCGUGAUGUAAAAAAUUCAGUUGGGAGUAGAAAAAUCAUAAAAUUUAGUGUUGAUAUUGUGAGUUUUUUUUAUGAAAAAUAAAAAAAGUCGAUAUAUAUCAUAUCAUGUCAUAAUAAUGAGAUGCGUUUAAAAACAUGAUAAAUUCUUUAAAAAAAAGGAUAACAUUAUAUUUUCAUAUUUGUCAUCGCAUGUACAUUAUGUUGGGAAAUGCCUGCAUAAUUUCCCUCCUCCGUGAACUCAAAAUAGACACUAGCGGAAACGUGAAAUAUAAACGUAAUGACACAAAGAGAAUUUUAGCGUGGAAAACCUUCUCAAUAUGAGAAAGGGAAAAAACCACGGGACCCUUGGACCUCUUAAAACUUCCACUAUAAUGAUAAUGGGAAUACAACAACUUCACCCUUAGGUGGAUCUCACUACAAUAUAUCUCUCAAUUUGCAAGGAACACUCUCACAAAUUGGCUCACUAUUUCUCUCACAAGAAAACUCUCUAUGAGGAUGACUUUUCUCUUGAGCAAGGCUCUCUUUCUCUUGCUCUUUGUUGUUCUUCUCUUGUGGUGUGUUUUGAAUGCUUGCUCAUGGUCCUAUUUAUAGGAGAAGCAAGCCAAAGUUGCCUUACAUGCAUGAAGACAUUUGUCAUUUGCCUUUUAUGCAAAACACCAAGUGUCCCUUGCAAUGCAUGCACCACACCAAAUGUCUCUCAUGCAUUACACCAUGUGUUACUCAUACACUACACCAUGUGUACACCAUGCAUCUUGCUACUUGUCACCACAUGCAACCUUCCAUCUUGUCAAAUGUAUGUUGAACAUGUGGCAAUGGCUGGACCCCACACAUUAAAUAUAUGAUAUGAUAAGAUAAAUGUUUAUUUUGUUCACAUCAUAUAUUGUCAUUAUCCAACUCUAUAUUUUAUCAUCUUCCUACCAAUUUCAUAAUAUUUUUUUGUUUAAAUUCACUUUUGAUCUGUAGUUUUAGUUUAUAUAAUAUUUUGGUCUCCAUUUUUAAUUGCAGUAAUUUGAUUCCUAUUUCAAAAAUUCAAAUAUUUUUUCUUUGACAAAAUAAAAUUCAAACAUUUGGUUCUUGUGUGAAAUAAAAGGCAAAAUAGAGAGACGAAAAAACAUGGAAAAGAUGAGGUCUAUAUAGUCGUUGCUUGCGCGGUUCGGAUGGAAUGGAAAUGAGGUCAAUUUACAGAUCUCCAAAGAUGCUUGCAAAGUUUAUAUAUUACA